UACAGAGGUCUCAAGCGUUGUUCGGAUUCAUUGGGCGUAAAGGGUGCGUAGGCGGCGCGGUAAGUCGGGUGUGAAAUCUCGGAGCUUAACUCCGAAACUGCAUUCGAUACUGCCGUGCUUGAGGACUGGAGAGGAGACUGGAAUUUACGGUGUAGCGGUGAAAUGCGUAGAUAUCGAGAGGAACACCUGCGGCGAAGGCGGGUUGCUGGGCUGACACUGACGCUGAGGCGCGAAAGCGUGGGUAGCAAACAGG
rnacentral:rRNA from 1 species